CCUACGGGUGGCAGCAGUAGGGAAUAUUGCUCAAUGGGGGAAACCCUGAAGCAGCAACGCCGCGUGGAGGAUGAAGGUUUUCGGAUUGUAAACUCCUUUUGUUAGAGAAGAUAAUGACGGUAUCUAACGAAUAAGCACCGGCUAACUCCGUGCCAGCAGCCGCGGUAAUACGGAGGGUGCAAGCGUUACUCGGAAUAACUGGGCGUAAAGAGCGCGUAGGUGGGUUAGUAAGUCAGAUGUGAAAUCCUAUGGCUUAACCAUAGAACUGCAUUUGAAACUGUAAUGCUAGAGUAUGUGAGAGGUAGGCGGAAUGCGUGGUGUAGCGGUAAAAUCCGUAGAGAUCAAGAGGAAUACUCAUUGCGAAGGCGACCUGCUAGAACAUAACUGACGCUGAUGCGCGAAAGCGUGGGGAUCAAACAGGAUUAGAUACCCUUGUAGUC
rnacentral:rRNA from 1 species